UACAGAGGUCCCAAGCGUUGUUCGGAUUCAUUGGGCGUAAAGGGUGUGUAGGUGGCGCCGUAAGUCGGGUGUGAAAUUUCGGAGCUUAACUCCGAAACUGCAUUCGAUACUGCGGUGCUUGAGGACUGGAGAGGAGACUGGAAUUCAUGGUGUAGCAGUGAAAUGCGUAGAGAUCAUGAGGAAGACCAGUGGCGAAGGCGGGUCUCUGGGCCGAUACUGACGCUGAGGAGCGAAAGCGUGGGGAGCGAACAGG
rnacentral:rRNA from 1 species